CCGCGGUGCGGAGAAGACCCGGCCUUUAUGCACCACCCACACACCCUUCGCACACCCGGCUGCUCUAACCAGCCCAGGCUUUCAAAGUGUCCACAAUGGCCACGCCUAAUGAGAGCGAGUCACUUGAAGACUGAACAAAGCUUUGAAAAACAGAACUCCAAAUCGCUACAUCAUCCCAGUGAAAAUCAGGGAUCAGUCCAAGAGUCGUGUUGUCAGCUAUUUGUGGCCACCUCCUCUGCUCCCCCCAUCCCAAGUCCUUAUCCAAAGGGCAAAAAGACUUUCUGAACCAAUCAAUCCUUCCACUAAAAGCACUUUUACUAACUGA